UGGCCCCGUAGCUUAGUGAAUAGAGCGUCAGAUUCCGGUUCUGAAGGUCGUGCGUUUGAAUCGCACCGGGGUCACAGA
rnacentral:tRNA from 1 species